UCGAGAAUCUUCGGCAAUGGGCGAAAGCCUGACCGAGCGACGCCGCGUGCGGGAUGAAGGCCUUCGGGUUGUAAACCGCUGUCGUAGAGGAGGAAGCGCAAGCGGGUUCUCCAUUUUGUUUGACCUAUUCUAGGCGGAAGUACGGGCUAAGUUCGUGCCAGCAGCCGCGGUAAGACGAACAGUACAAACGAUACUCGGAAUUACUGGGCCUAAAGGGGGCGUAGGCUGAGCGGAAAGUUGGGUGGGACA
rnacentral:rRNA from 1 species